CACCACUCAAGCCCGGCUUGGUAUUGGGCGACGGGGACUCCCCGCGCCUGCAUUUCACCGGCGGACGACCCGUAUCUCAGCGUUGUGGCAUCAGAUUCGCUGGCGAGAGGGGGCGGUCUGGCCGUUAAGCACUUCAUCUCA
rnacentral:misc_RNA from 1 species